GGUUCAGGACGAACGCUGGCGGCGUGCUUAACACAUGCAAGUCGAACGGGAGUAUUGAAGAAGCUUGCUUAGAGAUACUUUAGUGGCGGACGGGUGAGUAACGCGUGAGGAGCUGUCCUAUGCAGGGGGACAACAGCUGGAAACGGCUGCUAAUACCCCAUAAGCCGAGAGGUAAAAGGAUCAAUCCGGCAGAGGAGGUACUCGCGUCCUAUCAGCUAGUAGGUGAGGUAACGGCUCACCUAGGCGAAGACGGGUAGCCGGCCUGAGAGGGCGAACGGUCACACUGGAACUGAGAUACGGUCCAGACUCCUACGGGAGGCAGCAGUGGGGAAUAUUGGGCAAUGGGGGAAACCCUGACCCAGCGACGCCGCGUGGGUGAAGAAAUCCUUCGGGAUGUAAAGCCCUGUUGUAUGGGAAGAGCGGAAGACGGUACCAUACGAGGAAGCCCCGGCAAACUACGUGCCAGCAGCCGC
rnacentral:rRNA from 1 species